ensembl:ncRNA lncRNA:CR44373 long non-coding RNA:CR44373
AAAGUUCUGCUCACACAGUUCGAUUGCGUUAGUGGACAUACCCUGCUAUUGGUCAGGGUAUUUAUGUAUAAUGAGGAGUCGGCGCAGAUUUUAUUGCAGCAUCACGUCUACGUCAACGUUGUCUACCGGAUGCCUGCAAUAUAUCAAACGGGAGUCGGCUCUCAAACUGGCCAUUGCAUCUGUCCCGCUCUGUGUUUCCCUAUAGAAAAUCCGCAUUACCACACCCCCACCACCGGCGACUGGCGGUGUUUUGUCUGGCUCACUUUUAAUAAUUCCGCCCCGAGGGACCGGCGAACGGAUGGUCACCUACACACAACGGCAAUCGGAAUGACAAACUAUAACAAUAGGAAUAUACUCCAGGCAAUCCAAUUGCAAUGCCCGUCGUCUGAGUGUCCCUCGUCUGAGCUGCCCGUGAACCCCCUUGGAUCCGGCCAUCUUCCCUCCAUUUGUGUGCAGCGAGGCAUAGAAAUUCCAAGUCCGACUCGCCUCCCCCCCUGCUCCGGAUUCAGUUGUCCAUCCAAGCACUGCCGUUAAUUAUGGGAAGAUUUCCCAUUGUACAAAUGAGUUGGAAGAACAACUUUUGUCAGGCCUAAUGAUGGGUAGUGGACGUGGUAGUGGUAGUGGACUCCGGGGAAAUGUCGCGUCUGGUUAGCUUCCAAAAUUUAUAGAAGAACGCCUCCUCGGGAUGGCCGGAAGAAUGCAAAUGGCGGGGGAAAAGAGAAACCAAAUUGGUUUAUUACAUUCUUUCAUUAGGAAUGGGAAUGGGAACGGGACGGAGAGCUGUCGCCCGAAAUCAACGAC